rnacentral:tRNA from 1 species
GGGGUUGUGGCUCAGCGGUAGAGCACUUGCCUUGCAUGCAUGAGGCCCUGGGUUCGAGCCUCAGCACCA